AGGUAGCAUUCAAAAGAUAAGAUGCCUACCCGAUACAAUCUUCCUACAGUUAAAUUGUCAUUUCCUGCUUGUGGUAUCAUUAGCAAGUUCUGCAAGUCUCAAAUGACAAGACAUUAGU
rnacentral:snoRNA from 1 species